UACAGAGGGUGCAAGCGUUGUUCGGAAUUAUUGGGCGUAAAGGGCGCGUAGGCGGUGCCACAAGUCACCUGUGAAAUCUCCGGGCUUAACUCGGAGCCUGCAGGCGAAACUGUGGUGCUGGAGUGUGGGAGAGGUGCGUGGAAUUCCCGGUGUAGCGGUGAAAUGCGUAGAUAUCAGGAGGAACACCAAUAGCGAAGGCAGCUCGCUGGGACGUUACUGACACUGAGGCGCGAAAGCGUGGGGAGCGAACAGG
rnacentral:rRNA from 1 species